GGGAGCCUACGGGGGGCAGCAGUGAGGAAUAUUGGUCAAUGGGCGGGAGCCUGAACCAGCCAAGUCGCGUGAGGGAGGACGGUCCUAUGGAUUGUAAACCUCUUUAGGCGGGGAGCAAUGCCGGGCACGUGUGCCCGGAGGGAGAGUACCCGAAGAAAAAGCAUCGGCUAACUCCGUGCCAGCAGCCGCGGUAAUACGGAGGAUGCGAGCGUUAUCCGGAUUUAUUGGGUUUAAAGGGUGCGCAGGCGGACCAUCAAGUCAGCGGUAAAAUCGUGGGGCCCAACCCCAUCCCGCCGUUGAAACUG
rnacentral:rRNA from 1 species